rnacentral:rRNA from 1 species
GUGGGGAAUAUUGGACAAUGGGCGAAAGCCUGAUCCAGCCAUGCCGCGUGUGUGAAGAAGGUCUUCGGAUUGUAAAGCACUUUAAGUUGGGAGGAAGGGCAGUAAGUUAAUACCUUGCUGUUUUGACGUUACCGACAGAAUAAGCACCGGCUAACUUCGUGCCAGCAGCCGCGGUAAUACGAAGGGUGCAAGCGUUAAUCGGAAUUACUGGGCGUAAAGCGCGCGUAGGUGGUUUUGUAAGUUGGAGGUGAAAUCCCCGGGCUCAACCUGGGAACUGCCUCCAAAACUGCAUGACUAGAGUACGGUAGAGGGUAGUGGAAUUUCCUGUGUAGCGGUGAAAUGCGUAGAUAUAGGAAGGAACACCAGUGGCGAAGGCGACUACCUGGACUGAUACUGACACUGAGGUGCGAAAGCGUGGGGAGCAAACAGGAUUAGAUACCCGUGAGUCC